GACGAACGCUGGCGGCGUGCUUAACACAUGCGAGUCGAACGGAAAGGCCUCUUUCGGGGGGUACUCGAGUGGCGAACGGGUGAGUAACACGUGAGUAACCUGCCCUUGACUUUGGGAUAACUUCAGGAAACUGGGGCUAAUACCGGAUAGGAGCUCCUGCUGCAUGGUGGGGGUUGGAAAGUUUCGGCGGUUGGGGAUGGACUCGCGGCUUAUCAGCUUGUUGGUGGGGUAGUGGCUUACCAAGGCUUUGACGGGUAGCCGGCCUGAGAGGGUGACCGGCCACAUUGGGACUGAGAUACGGCCCAGACUCCUACGGGAGGCAGCAGUGGGGAAUAUUGCACAAUGGGUGGAAGCCUGAUGCAGCAACGCCGUGUGCGGGAUGACGGCCUUCGGGUUGUAAACCGCUUUCGCUCAUGACGAAGCUUUGUGUGACGGUAGUGGGUAAAGAAGCACCGGCUAACUACGU
rnacentral:rRNA from 1 species